rnacentral:rRNA from 1 species
ACGAAGUCUUCGGACUGAGUGGCGGACGGGUGAGUAACGCGUGAGAAUCUGCCUAGAGGUCGGGGACAACCAUUGGAAACGAUGGCUAAUACCGGAUAUGCCUUACGGGGUGAAAGAUUAAUUGCCUUUAGAAGAGCUCGCGUCUGAUUAGCUAGUUGGUGAGGUAAGAGCUCACCAAGGCAGCGAUCAGUAGCUGGUCUGAGAGGAUGACCAGCCACACUGGGACUGAGACACGGCCCAGACUCCUACGGGAGGCAGCAGUGGGGAAUUUUCCGCAAUGGGCGAAAGCCUGACGGAGCAAGACCGCGUGAGGGAGGAAGGCUCUUGGGUUGUAAACCUCUUUUGUCAGGGAAGAACAAAAUGACGGUACCUGACGAAUCAGCAUCGGCUAACUCCGUGCCAGCAGCCGCGGUAAUACGGAGGAUGCAAGCGUUAUCCGGAAUUAUUGGGCGUAAAGCGUCCGCAGGUGGCUGAUCAAGUCUGCGGUCAAAGACCGGGGCUUAACCCUGGAAAGGCCGUGGAAACUGAUAGAGCUAGAGUACCGUAGGGGUAGAGGGAAUUCCCGGUGUAGCGGUGAAAUGCGUAGAGAUCGGGAAGAACAUCGGUGGCGAAAGCGCUCUACUGGACGGUGACUGACACUCAGGGACGAAAGCUAGGGGAGCGAAUGGGAUUAGAUACCCCAGUAGUCCUAGCCGUA